AGAUUAGAGUUUGAUCAUGGCUCAGAUUGAACGCUGGCGGCAGGCUUAACACAUGCAAGUCGAGCGGUAGCACAGGGGAGCUUGCUCCCCGGGUGACGAGCGGCGGACGGGUGAGUAAUGUCUGGGUAACUGCCUGAUGGAGGGGGAUAACUACUGGAAACGGUAGCUAAUACCGCAUAACGUCGCAAGACCAAAGAGGGGGACCUUCGGGCCUCUUGCCAUCAGAUGUGCCCAGAUGGGAUUAGCUAGUAGGUGGGGUAAUGGCUCACCUAGGCGACGAUCCCUAGCUGGUCUGAGAGGAUGACCAGCCACACUGGAACUGAGACACGGUCCAGACUCCUACGGGAGGCAGCAGUGGGGAAUAUUGCACAAUGGGCGCAAGCCUGAUGCAGCCAUGCCGCGUGUGUGAAGAAGGCCUUCGGGUUGUAAAGCACUUUCAGCGAGGAGGAAGGUGGUGAACUUAAUACGUUCAUCAAUUGACGUUACUCGCAGAAGAAGCACCGGCUAACUCCGUGCCAGCAGCCGCGGUAAUACGGAGGGUGCAAGCGUUAAUCGGAAUUACUGGGCGUAAAGCGCACGCA
rnacentral:rRNA from 1 species